CCCCCCCGCUUGCGCAGCUAGCACUAAGUCAGGUCGCAAUCACGCACUGACUUACCAGCUGUACUGCUAUGGAAGACUUUGAGUUGGUUUAUACCGAAAAUGAUGAGACUUUCGACACAUUUGAUGACCUUAGCAAGGAUGAAGAUACUGACAGUGAUACACAAAGCUCUGACAUAGAUGCAGAUAAAUAAACAGACAAUUCAGUAACAUAGGAGCUAUAGAUAUUUCAGAAGUUC